rnacentral:rRNA from 1 species
UACGUAGGCAGCAAGCGUUGUUCGGAGUUACUGGGCGUAAAGGGUGCGUAGGCGGCUCUAUAAGUAUGGUGUGAAAUCUCCCGGCUUAACUGGGAGGGUGCGCUAUAGACUGUGGGGCUAGAGUGUGGGAGAGGAAAGUGGAAUUCCUGGUGUAGCGGUGAAAUGCGUAGAUAUCAGGAGGAACACCUGUGGUGACUGAGAUC